CAGCCGCCGCGGGAAUACGUAGGGUGCAAGCGUUAAUCGGAAUUACUGGGCGUAAAGCGUGCGCAGGCGGUUCGUUAAGGCAGAUGUGAAAUCCCCGGGCUUAACCUGGGAACUGCAUUUGUGACUGCACAGCUAGAGUAUGGCAGAGGGGGGUGGAAUUCCACGUGUAGCAGUGAAAUGCGUAGAGAUGUGGAGGAACACCGAUGGCGAAGGCAGCCCCCUGGGCCAAUACUGACGCUCAUGCACGAAAGCGUGGGGAGCAAACAGGAUUAGAUACCCCUGUAGUCCCUGUCUCUUAUAC
rnacentral:rRNA from 1 species